AUGCAUCUAUUUGACAGGCAUGGAGCUGUUACCGUCUGCUGCCAAGGUUUCCACUACAGAUGCAGGAAAAAAGUGUCCUCACACUUUCUGUGUGAUUGUGGCAACCAAGACUGACUGAGAAACAAAACA
rnacentral:snoRNA from 1 species